UAGAGGGCAUUAGGGCAUUAAAAUAUUCUUGUUUUGGCUAUUAUGUAGAGGCAACAAAAUAUAUAGGGCUAACGACAUUAGGGAUUUUCCUAACUAUUUGGUGGCGAGAACUUGAAAGCUAAGGAGAGCGAAAUAUUCUUGCAACUCAACAGUAAUGGCAAGAUUGAAGUCAUUGAGGCCCGUUUGACUGGUAUUCUAGACGUUGCAAGAUUUGCGGAACUUCCUGUUAGCGAGAUACCAUUGGUGAAGACGGAGCUAAUAGCUGACGAGUUUGCUGGAGUUGAUUCAGUUAUUGAGGUGAGCCGUCGCAUUGUUCGUGGAGGUUGCCAAAAGAGUCUUUAUCAUUUUUCCAUAUGAUGUCUUAUGUAAUUCUCUUAGAUGCUCCAUGGUCUAGUGUAGAAUUUUUGCUAGAGUUUUAAUUUAAUAAUUUGAGAUACCAAUUGUUCAUAAUUAAUUAUCAAAUUAUUUGGAUACUCAUAAUUAACUAAAUAUUGCAAAUUAAUGGUUAAGGUAUGAAAGUAUGGUUCGCCUAGCAGGUGGUGUUAGCUGGGUGCUAGUCACGUCUAGUGAGUAAUUUGGGACGUGAUCAAGUUGGUAUACGAGCUUAGGCUUUUUAUCCCGUGUCAUGGAGCAGUGUUUGGUAGAGUCUUGUUCAUGAGUAUGUCGACGUCCAUACUUAUGACCUUGAGGCUGCUAAACAUCUAGGAUGUUUUCCCUUCUUUCAGUUCUUAUUCGUGCGUUAAGUUAAAUCGAGUUUAAACUUGGAAUGUCCCUUUCGCAGAUGGAUAGGACACGCGUAUCCUCCGCUGCUGUAUGAGAUAAUUGACUUGGAAGUUUUAAAUAAUAUAUGUUCAGGUUAGAGUGGCCUUGAUUACAUGUAAUGUAUUAUGCAUUGGUUCUAGUUCUGAUUAGACAGUUCAUAAAAAUUUGGGUGGACGGUUAAGUAACCUAAGCAUAUGUUUAUUUCCUAUGAGCAACUUGUCAGGAUUUGAGUUUGUGGUUAUAAAUUUUCAUUAUGAGCCUAAUAAGGAGAGGAAAAGAGUUGAGCAAAAAAAAGAAAAAGAAAAAGAAAGAAGAAGUAAUAAGUAAUAUAGCUUAGCCAUGUCUAGGCUAUUGGGUGUGGUGGUUAAAGACAAAUUUAAGGAAAGCGCUUUGAAGCGAUUUACUAUUAUUAGUGAAUAACGCAAUAAUGAUGUUAUAAAUGUGAAUGCGGCGUUGAGCGUGAGCGUAUUAAUAGGAUUUCAUGAGCUAUAACAAGUAUAUAUAUAGUAGGAGUUUGUGAUUAAGUUUGGAUUAUUGAGUGAGAGAAAGAAAACCUUAGGCAUGAGAUCUAAUACACCAAGAUAGUAAGUUAUUGAGUAUGAGACUCAGUAAAUCUUGGCAUACUUCGUCAAUUAAAAUUCGAGUAAGACGCAUGGGAUUGUAGGGCCUCACACUAUUUGCUUGAUUUGUUAUGCAUUGUGGAAUAGAUGUGCGGGAUAUUAGGGACCCAGGGUCCAUGAGUUUCCACGACGUAAUAGAUGUUAUAAAGGGGUAAGACAUAGAGUACUAAGAUUGUCAACGAGUUUGAGUACUUGAAAUGAAGUAGCACGAAUAUUACUAAACAUAUUGUUCAGUUUAAACAAUUGUCUUGAUAAGCGUUGUACUUUGUACCACUUGGACUUUGAAAAAAAAAGUAUUUGUUGAUGAGAUGAUACCAUGGUUAAGAAAGAAUAAGGAUUUUUGAGUUAGUUUCAUAAGAAAUUUUUUUCCCUUGUUUCAGGGAGUUCAUACUCAUAUAUGUGCAAUUCCCAUGCUCAAUUUGGCAACAUAUACGAGGUUGUAUGGAAUAAAAAAAAGGUAAUUAUAAAAUAAUACAAUGACAACUACGGGAAUAGCUCUUAAGAAGGGGAAACGAAAAGAAGUAACUAGCAAUAAAAAGAGUGAGCCAACACUAACCGAACAUGAAUGAAGAGUAAGCAUGGUUUAAAGGUAAUAAAUUGGAAUUGUGAUGGAUUUUAAAAGCUAAAUGCUGGGAUGAAAAUUCAGCAAUGUUAUAACCCCAAAGGUAGAAACAAGUCGGAGGAGAAUAAAGGCAUUUGUACCUUUCUAUAAGGUAAAGUAAUUGAGUAAUGACAAGUCAUGUUAAUCAUUCUAAAAGAGUUGCAUAUGAAGUUAUAAAUGAUGAUUAAAUAUUAUCCUUCAAAAAAAUAAAAAAUUAUGAAUGAGUUGAGAGAUGAAGGUUAUGUGUUGCAUCUAACUAUACCUCAGGGCAGCAGUGUUGAAUACCUAACUAUUAGGAUAGUCUUAACAGUUAAUUAAGUUCCAAAUGUAUUUUCAGAGAACCUAUCGAGUUUACCACAUGAAGUGGAGAUAGACUUGGGUAUGGAUAUAGCACAAGAAGCCUAAUUUAUAUAUGUAUUUUUUUGAUAUUAUAGAAAAGCUCUAUAGAGUUAAAGGAACUAAAAGAGCAAAAUAUAAGACUUUAUAAUUAAGAAGUCAUCAGACCAAGUAUAUCACUUUGCUGCUCUUAAGUUAUGUACUUCGAGAAGAAUAGUGGAUCUAAGCAUAUAAUUAUCGAUAAUAGAUAGAAGACUUAAAGUGUCAUGACAUGCAAGUAUAUUUUAUAAGUUAGAUGAUUUGUGCCCUCAGUUAUAAGGUAUUACCUUCUAUUCUAAGCUAGACUUGUGAUUGGUACAUCAUGACUAGAAGAUAAAAAGUGUAUAUAUUUUAGAAACAUAUACAUAGACCUGUUUUGGUUAGUAAUUAUCAUGGACUAGAUGAACUAAAUAUUGAAACUGUUUCUUAACAUUCUUGUUAAUCAUGUUCACUAUUGACCUAUGAGAAUAUUUUUAUGGCUGAUAGAAGCAUGCAUAUUUGUGGAGGAGGUUUCUAUAGGCAUCGAGAUAAAUCCGAUUAAAUAGCAAGGUUAAAACUGUGAAUUAUAAUUUUUGUAUUAUUGUAUGUUGAGCCUUGUGAUGUCUAGUAAAAAGGUUGGCAGGUUGAUGGUGUGACGCCUACUAAGGCAAUAGCUUGUGCCAUAUUGCAAUUUUCUUUGUUUCAAACAAGCAAAAUUCACCGGUACGAGAGUCUUAACCUUAUUGGAGAUAGUGAUCAGCUCUUAGAGACGAGUUAUACUUGAUAGUGAAUAAAGAGAGAAUAUUAUGGCUAAAGAAUGCAAUAUGUGUACACUCGUGGUGGUUGACGUAGGGAGACUCAUACUCGAUGAGAUAUAUCACUUGAAACAUUAAUUACCUUCAAGGUCUAGUUAUAUGCAUUGGGAUUUGAGAAAGAGAGCUAAUGACAGUAGAGGGUGAUAUAUGAUAUCAUAGAUAUUUUUCUUUAGUGUAUGAACUGUUAAUAUACUAAAUGUGAGUGUUAGAGACUCGGUAAAUUAUCGCAAACAUAUUUCUCUGGAAGAAAGCGAAAAUAGAUCGUCGUAGACUCAGUAGUUGGUCUACAUGGUGAUUAUAGUUUAGGUGAUCACGAUUGGCUCAACGAUAUCGCAUGCUUAACUCAUUCUGGAUUGAUUAUAUAACAUAAUAGCCUAUGUAGCGAUAUGCUUGAAAUAUAGUGCAAUAUUAUGAGACGCCCAUAUUGUAUAUGUGACAAGGGUAAUGUGGCAUGUAAUAUCUACAUAAGGAUGUCUGGAUGUGUUCCAUAACUACCGUACGCAAGAAUAUUAUGUACGAGUGUUAUGUGUUUUAACAUUGCCGUAUAUAAAAUUUGUGGAUGUUUUCCACUGUAGGACUAUGAUUAUGACGCUUGGAUAUACUCUACCAUAAAGGAGUUAUGAGAUUAUGAAUGAGAUUGGGUUAGUGGCAUAUAGACUUGCCUUGCCCUCAGGACUUUCAGUUAUACAUCUUGUGUUUUAUGUGUUUGUGACGAAAGUCAUAUAAAAUUUAGUCUAAGGAAGGGAACUAGAUGAAAAUUUUGAAUAACGAACAACGUCCCAUAGUUAUUGUUGAUAAGCGAAUGUGAUAAUUGAGCUCGAAGAAGGUUGCUUAAGUGAAUAUGUUAUGUCGCAACAAACACAUAAAGGAAGCUAUGUGGGAGUCUGAGGUAUACAUGCGCAUAAAGUACCUACAAUUAUCUGAGAUGUCAGAUACAUUUUCUAACUCGUUCGAUGACGAACAUUUUAUUUAAGUGGGAGAGAAUGUAAUAACCCGAAAAAAAAAUAUAUUAUUACAUAUUCAUUAGUUGUGAAAUUAGAGAAUUAUUUAGUUUGUAGUUAUUGGAUUAAAUAAUAAGUUAGUGGAAGAGAAUUUACCUUGAUUUAUAAGAUAGUAUACUAGUUUUUUUCUAGUGAGCCAAUUUACAUUACGUAUGAUAGUUAAAUAAUCAUGGACCUUAGAUAAUAAAAGUAACUAACUGGGUCAACCCAUCUCAAUUGCUGCCAACGAUCUAGAGGGCAUUAGGGCAUUAAAAUAUUCUUGUUUUGGCUAUUAUGUAGAGGCAACAAAAUAUAUAGGGCUAACGGCAUUAGGGAUUUUCCUAAUUAUUUGGUGGCGAGAACUUGAAAGCUAGGGAGAGCGAAAUAUUCUUGCAACUCAAUAGUAAUGGCAAGGUAUCAAUUCUAAUCCCUAUAGCUAUAUUUCUUGUAUUAAUUUAAGAGAGAUAUUCUUAUUAGUUCUUUGUAUAAUGGUGACAAGAAUUAAGUGUGAGAGUAAAGGGAUUAUGUCAGACAUGAUUAUACUGGUCACACCUCGAGAAUAAAAAUAAAUUAUAACAAUAAACUUGCUCUUUAAUAAUAGACAAAACUUUUCGAGAGUUACAUUUUUAAAGUUAAUUUUUUUUUGGAACCUUGCAUAGGAAAUACGUUUCAGAUAUUUGCUACAAUGUUUGAUUAGUUAUACUUAUGUAAAUAAGAUUUGAACUUCACAUUUCAAAAUAUGUCCACGUAUAUUUGCAAAAAGAACACUCUGUCAUAUUAUGUUUAGAGAUAAUUUUAUGUUGAACUAGUGUUUGAAUGUGUAUAACUGAAGGAUUAGUCAACUGGUUAGCAGGUCAUAUAUUGAGUACCAAAUUG